UUUAUAUUUCAGUUAUAAAUGUAACGGAAAUAUUUUUGUAUUUUUUUCUAAUAAUAAAAGUAAGGCAUGAUCAUUACAGAAAAUGUUUACAGUAUGAAGAAAAUAAACAUCAGAAAAUAAACCAGAAAAUAAACAUCACUCGCACCUUUACUCUUCCUCAGCUAAGGACCUGAAUGGUGUGAGUGCAUACCCUUUCAGUAUUUUACGUACACAUGAAACUAUUCUUUGUUUUAUAUUGUUCGCUGUUUUCUAUGUUUGUGGCAGAUGCUGUUGGCUGUUUACACAACACAGCAACUAUUCUGUUCUUUCUUGUUCACAGAACCAUGACUGUGUCUGGGUGUUUUUCUUCAGAGUGAAGGCUGGACCCACCCUUGUCCCAGAAGGAAUCAACUCUGAAUUGGAUCAAGGUGGGAGUUGCAUCAUUAGCGAACGCGGACGUUUAUAAAUGGAGAGCCGUCGAUUCUAAAGGACCUUUUUGCGUGUGCAAGUUUGCAUUUCUGCACCAACCCGGAUUCUAGCACACCGUAGGCGCGCGAUACAUUUUCAGUGAAGAAGAAAAACAAAAACAAAGGGAAGGUGCCGGGCCACAGUGUUUGCAAGACUUCCAUUUUGUCGUGGCUGUAAGAAAGAGGAAGAAGAGAUAACCAUGAGAACAGAACCGAUAUUAGGAAUUUGGCCCCAGGAAAGAAGUUUCCAGGGAAAGUCGUAGAGUCCACGUAGGUACAAUUUGACUUAAUGUUCUUUCUAUUUCAUCAUGGAUGGUUAUUCAGUACAG